rnacentral:rRNA from 1 species
CAGCCGCCGCGGUAAUACGAAGGGGGCUAGCGUUGUUCGGAAUUACUGGGCGUAAAGGGCGCGUAGGCGGCCAUUCAAGUUAGAUGUGAAAGCCCUGGGCUCAACCUAGGAAUUGCAUUUGAUACUGUUUGGCUUGAGUUCGGGAGAGGUGAGUGGAAUUCCCAGUGUAGAGGUGAAAUUCGUAGAUAUUGGGAAGAACACCAGUGGCGAAGGCGGCUCACUGGACCGACACUGACGCUGAGGCGCGAAAGCGUGGGGAGCAAACAGGAUUAGAUACCCCGGUAGUCCCUGUCUCUUAUAC